rnacentral:lncRNA from 1 species
UCAGGACAUCUAAAGGAAAUUCACUUGCUUAAAUGUGAAAGUUAAAUUAACCCAUCAAUUGAGGACUUGCUGUUAAAACAAUUCAAUUUGCCAUUACUGUUACUCUGGAUUGUUUCUGCAUUUCUUCCUUUUAGCUGCUUGUCCAUUUCCUUCAUAAUCUCCUCUAACCUCUGACGCAGCCAGCCAACUUCCAGUUUAAUUGAUUCAAGAUCUUGUAUGCUAUUUAACAUGGACUUCAGAUGAAUUUCAGUUAGAUUUUUGAGCUCCGCUGCUUGUAGCUUCCAGAUAAUGUCACAAACAAUCUCCAAG